rnacentral:rRNA from 1 species
CGUUCCCGAGCCUUGUACACACCGCCCGUCAAGCCAUGGAAGCUGGGGGUGCCUGAAGUCGGUGACCGCAAGGAGCUGCCUAGGGUAAAACUAGUAACUAGGGCU